GGUCUCAGUUCGGACUGUAGGCUGCAACUCGCCUACACGAAGUUGGAAUUGCUAGUAAUCGUGGAUCAGCAUGCCACGGUGAAUACGUUCCCGGGUCUUGUACACACCGCCCGUCACACCAUGGGAGUCAGUAACGCCCGAAGCCGGUGACCCAACCAAGCGGAGGGAGCCGUCGAAGGUGGGACCGAUAACUGGGGUGAAGUCGUAACAAGGUACC
rnacentral:rRNA from 1 species